CAAACUUUGCAAUACACGAAAGUGUGACAGGGCUAUCCCGAGUGCCGUCCGCUGAGGAUGGCUUUUACCCAGUCUAGAACGCUGGGGGAAUAAGGAGAGGGCAAGUCUGGUGUCAGCCGCCGCGGUAAUACCAGCUCUCCGAGUGGUGUGGAUGUUUAUUGGGCCUAAAGCAUCCGUAGCUGGCCAAGCAAGUCCUUUGUUAAACCCACCGAAUUAAUCGUUGGAUUGCGGGGGAUACUGCUCGGCUAGGGGACGAGAGAGGCAGACGGUAUUUUCGGGGUAGGGGUGAAAUCCUAUAAUCCCGGGAAGACCACCAGUGGCGAAGGCUGUCUGCUAGAACGCGCCCGACGGUGAGGGAUGAAAGCUGGGGGAGCGAACCGGAUUAGA
rnacentral:rRNA from 1 species